rnacentral:rRNA from 1 species
CCCUUAGAUGUCCUGGGCCGCACGCGCGUUACACUGAUGCAUUCAACGAGCUUAUAACCUUGGCCGAGAGGCCUGGGCAAUCUUGUUAACGUGCAUCGUGAUAGGGAUAGAUUAUUGAAAUUAUUAAUCUUGAACGAGGAAUUCCUAGUAAACGCAGAUCAUCAAUCUGCAUUGAUUACGUCCCUGCCCUUUGUACACACCGCCCGUCGCACCUACCGAUUGGAUGGUCCGGUGAAGCCUCGGGAUUGUGGUUCUUGCCGCUUUAUUGGGGCGUGACCGCGAGAACUUGUCUAAACCUUAUCAUCUAGAGGAAGGUGAAGUCGUAACA